UAUAUUCACGAAAUAGUUCCACCAAUUUUGAGAUAUUGCUUUGAAAUUAUUUCGAUCUUAGAUUAUACAAACUGAACGAUCAAAGUUAAGUUCAUACAGGAAAAACUUUUUUAAUUGACAAGAUAUCGUCACGGAAUAUUGCAAUAAUUCCCUUGAGAGUAGUUCUAAAAUAGAUGGAAAAAGGUUUUGAUUGGAUCAAUACAUCAUAUAGCUGCCAUACAAAUUGCUUUUGUAAAGAAAGCUCUUUGUUUGAGAAGAUAUCUUCACAAAAUUCCUAGUAUGGAAAACUUUUUAUGACAUAAAUUAUUUUCACGAAAUUUUGCAUACAUUGUUGUCCAAAUACUUCGAAAAAUUGUUCAGACAUAAGCACUUUAGCAUGUAGCUACCUUACGAACCGAUAGAAAACUUUUUAUUUCUAAAGGGUGUAAUAGAUUCGGUACAACCGAAGUUAACGUAUUUUGUGUUUUAUUCGUUUUUUUAUUUAUGUGUGUUUUGUAUAUGUAUUUACUUAUUAUAUACACUUGUUUGCUAUGUACCGUGCUUUCUCUUCACCCAUGUUCCUGAUUAGUGUGAACACCCACCUUCGUUUUUCUGCCACAUCCCAGCGCCUCUGCCUAUCAAAUAGGCUUUUCUGUCUCUCUGCCGCUUUGCUAUUGUAAGUCGUUCUUCAUUGCCUCUGGAUUUCUCAUACACUCUUUUGAGUUCCAGUGCCAUUAUGUCAGGCGCAGGAUAUCCGCUGUUACCCUAGAUGCCUAAUGCGAGACCGUGCGGAAUCUACUAAUCACCCUUAUUGCAUUCAGCCGCGUCACAGAUCUUGCUUUAUUAGCGUACGCUUUACUUUGUAUUGCUGGUCCCCAUAUAGGCGCCGCGUACAUUAGCACUGACUGACUGGCUUUAGCCAAGAGUGCUCGUUUGUCCUGGCUUGGUCCUCCAAUAUUAGCCAUUAUUCUCGCUAAGACCACUCUUAUUCGAGCCGCUUUUACAAAUGCAUUCUCAAUGUGGGUGUUCAAAGCGCGGAGAGUGUCACUCCAAAUGCAAAGUACUCGCGUGAAAAUUUGUUGCCAACGUAACGGUAAGUAAGCGCACAGAGUCUCCUUUAGCGGAUGUUAUGUUUUCUUUUUUUAUUUUUUGAAAAUUUUAAAUAAAAUGUUUGCUCAUGUGCAAACACGCAGAUACAGUUUAUCUAAAUAUGGACAUAUAUGUAUGUACGAUUGUAUGUGUGCAGUUAAGAUUGUGUGCCACAUUGCUUGCAAACGCAGUGCAGCAACUGAAGUGCUAAUAUCUGUAGUUGCUGCCAUUACAUUCAUUUCAGCGUUUCCAGCGAUAAUCAUUUGCCAUGGUGCUAGCUCUCUUUCUCUCUCCGGCUGUUAUAAGUUGUGCGACAACUCAGUUAAUUUAACGCGUGAAGCUACUCGUUGACACCUAUUAACUGAGUUUCGAGUGUGUGUGUAUGCGCAUCUACCCUGCAGUAAAAUUGAGAACCGGUUAAAAAAAAUACAGUUCUGAGUCAAUCACUUGGCAUGUAUUUUAAACCAUGCUGUUUUAGAAUGCAGCAAAAGACAGUUUAAUGUAUCAAGCCUAACGUAAAAUAUCGAUAAUCACCUAUCGUUAGCUAUUGUAACCCAUCUUCGUAUUUCAAUUUCAAAAGUGCGUUGCUAAAAGUUAUUCAAUUCAAAAAGGCGUAAACUUAAUAUAUAUGUAGAUACAGAUAUACAAUUGUAAGUGAAAGUUUUAAGAAAUUGUUGUUGACGAAUGAAAAUGAUGAAAAAUAAGAUACAAAUUUUAGGAAAAAACAUUAAGGUUGCAACAUGUUGUAUAGUUUGUGAUGCCCCGGUUAAAGCUUUUAUUUGUGUUAUUCCAGGUGUUAAAAUGAUUAGCCUAGUAGCCAUAGAUUGUAUGAAUGAUAUUAAAUACAAUUUAUACAAUAUAACCCUAACAUAUCUACAUAGUUGUUUUUUUUUCAGAAAAGCAAUUUAACAAAAUAAAGCCAUAAUGGAAGCUUUAGCUGAGCAAAAAGUAUUGCAGCAGAAAUUAAUUCGCUAACAGUCAGUGGGUGGCCAAAUAGCCGACUUUUUCCCGCUGCAAAAAGAGGAAGGGCUUUGGAGGAUCAAAUUGUACAGAAAACAGCGAAAUUUUUGAAAGUUUCUACUAUAAAAAGAUUAAUUCAACAAAAUGUUACACGCAACUUAAGAAAAAUCCGGAGCGAUGGUAUUGUUAAAGUUCUAUGAAAAGUUUUAUGCUGCACUACUAAAAUAUAUAGAUUCAAUUUCACCAACGCCAAAUUUAAUUGUUGCGGAGGAUCACAACCGGAAGGCUAUAAGGAUGCAAAAAAACAGAAAUUUCAAAAUGUCGCCUUCAAAAACUUCAUAAUUUACAUUUCAUUUUAAUGCCUAAUACUUGCAUUUAACUUUAUUUAAUUUAAGUAAUGUAAAACUUUUUCAUACAAAACCUAUUUCAACACAAAAUAAAUAAAUUCUAAA